AUGUUAGGUGUGGCGGAGAUGCGUAUGUUGAGAUGGAUGUGUGGCCACACGAGGAAGGAUCGAGUCCGGAAUGAUGAUAUACGAGAUAGAGUUGGGGUAGCACCAAUUGAAGAGAAGCUUGUCCAACAUCGUCUGAGAUGGUUUGGGCAUAUCCAGCGCAGGCCUUCAGAAGCUCCAGUGCAUAGCGGAUGGCUAAAGCGUGCGGAGAAUGUCAAGAGAGGGCGGGGUAGACCGAAUUUGACAUGGGAGGAGUACGUUAAGAGAGACCUGAAGGAUUGGGGUAUCAUCGAAGAGCUAGCUAUGGACAGGGGUGCAUGGAAGCUUGCUAUCCAUGUGCCAGAGCCAUGA
rnacentral:rRNA from 1 species